CGUGUAGGUGGACUGAUCAGUCGGGUGUGAAAUAUCCAGGCUCAACCUGGAGGGUGCAUCCGAUACGGUCAGUCUUGAGUGCAGGAGAGGGCAGUGGAAUUCCCAGUGUAGCGGUGAAAUGCGUAGAUAUUGGGAGGAACACCAGUGGCGAAGGCGGCUGCCUGGACUGUAACUGACACUGAGGCGCGAAAGCGUGGGGAGCAAACA
rnacentral:rRNA from 1 species